rnacentral:lncRNA from 1 species
CGUCUGGAAGGCUCUGCACACGUGCUCUUCUGCUCCUCGAAGGUCUUCGGAGGCUGCGAGCUGACUGCACAUAAAGAAGCCACCCGGUGAAUGCCAGGAGAGUUGUCAGAGCAGGCCCUUGGGAGAUGUGGCCCAAGCCAAUCUGGUCCAGAACCCAAUGAAAUGAACAUUGACCCAUGGGGACUUUGGAAGCCUUGUGGGUUUUUCUGGUCAAAAAUCCAGGAUAUUAAUCUGUUGACUGGACCCCCGGACCAACUGAGGGCACGUUAAGAUACAAGAGAAAACAUCGUCGUGGGAGCGGGUCCGGGAAACCCGAAGCCCGCUGUGCCAUCCCACCGGCCAACCUGCGCCUCCCGCCCCUCGGCCAGCCUUCCAGUGAGGAGACAAGACGGCGCCCCACAACCCCGGGCAGCGGCUUCUCCCCUCACCUGUGGGAUGAGUUCCUGGCCGCCCUGGCCCUGAGCCCGACCUGGCUCUGCAGACCGCCGUCCUCCCCACCCCAGCAGCCCGUCAGCCUGUUGUUUCUGGUGUCCUUAGCUGAUACAGCCUCAUGUACACACACCUGCACUGCGCCCCGAAAGAUCUACGAGGGCUCAUUUCUACGGAGGAAAACGAGAAACGGCGGCCACGGGGUGUACGACCCGCUCGGGGGCAGCGGCCGGCAGGGGAGGGGACGGCGCGCGCGCGGGCGGCAGGGGGCCGCCCCGCGCACAGACCGGAAGUGUUCGCGGCCCAGCCUCACGCACAGGCCGGAAGUGCUCGCCCCCCUGACCCGCGCAUAGGCCGGAAGCGCCCGCGAUCCCGCCCUGCUCCGAGCACAAGCCGGAAGUGCACCUCGCCCCGCGCGCAAGACGAAAGCGCCCGCGGCCCCGCCCAGCCCGACGCAAAGGCCGGAAGCGCUUAAGGCCUCGCGCGGUCCAGAGCACAGGCCGGAAGUGCUCACAGCCCGGCCCCAGCACAGGUCGGAAGCGGCGCAGGCCCCGCCCCGCACACAGGCCGGAAGCGGCGCAGGCCCCGCCUCGCGCACGGGCCGGAAGCGGGCCAGUACUCCGACCGCGAAGUCGGGGUGGUGUGGCCGGCGUUCUCCGAGCCGCCCGCAGGGUUUGUCGGCAACUGCGGGCUGUGCGGCCUUGGAGACGCCAGAGCGGCGGCGGGGCGGGGCGGGGCGGGGCGGCAGGGAGCCCGGGUGAGGGCUGACGUGGGCAGCGGCGACCGCGGCACUCGGUGCGCUCUACUGGGUCUUCUGUGUGUCAGCGGGGCUCUCCCCACCCGCCCUCACCCCACUCCCGAGCUCUAGGUGCCCCCGCAGCCCCUGCCCCCGGAGCCCCGGGCGUCCUCCCGCGCACCGCCUGCCCCCGGAGCCCCGGGCGUCCUCCCGCGCUCCCCCUGCCCCCGGAGCCCCGGGCGUCCUCCCGCGCUCCCCCUGCCCCCGGGGCCCAGGGCGUCCUCCCGCGCUCCCCCUGCCCCCGGGGCCCAGGGCGUCCUCCCGCGCUCCCCCUGCCCCCGGGGCCCAGGGCGUCCUCUCGCGCUCCCCCUGCCCCCGGGGCCCAGGGCGUCCUCCCGCGCUCCCCCUGCCCCCGGGGCCCCGGGCGUCCUCCCGCGCACCGCCUGCCCCCGGGGCCCAGGGCGUCCUCCCGCGCUCCCCCUGCCCCCGGGGCCCAGGGCGUCCUCUCGCGCUCCCCCUGCCCCCGGGGCCCAGGGCGUCCUCCCGCGCUCCCCCUGCCCCCGGGGCCCAGGGCGUCCUCCCGCGCUCCCCCUGCCCCCGGGGCCCAGGGCGUCCUCCCGCGCUCCCCCUGCCCCCGGGGCCCAGGGCGUCCUCCCGCGCUCCCCCUGCCCCCGGGGCCCAGGGCGUCCUCUCGCGCUCCCCCUGCC